rnacentral:tRNA from 1 species
UCUGGUUCGAGUCCAGGAUGGCCCACCUGAAUCAAUUAAAAAUGUGAAAUUAAAAAUUAAAAAUGACAGAUAAGCUCUUUAGUUUUUAAUUGUCAAUUUUGAAUUUUUAAUUGGUCGAGGGGGUUUAGCUCAGUUGGUAGAGCGCCUGCUUUGCAAGCAGGAUGUCAGCGGUUCGAGUCCGCUAACCUCCACCUUGAUAGCCUCAGCUAUAAACAUAAUGGAUUAGAUUCAGCAACAUGGCUGUGAGCCAGACUGCUGGGUUAGUUAUCCAGCCAGAACCUUGAAAACUGCAA